rnacentral:lncRNA from 1 species
AACCAUUUUUAUACGACCGCAAAAUUUGAAAAAUUUUUCGUCGUAUAUUGCUAUCACGUUGGCGUCGUCGGCGUCGUCGUCGUCGUCGUCCGAAUACUUUUAGUUUUCGCACUCUAACUUUAGUAAAAGUGAAUGGAAAUCUAUGAAAUUUUAACACAAGGUUUAUGACCACAAAAGGAAGGUUGGGAUUGAUUUUGGGAGUUUUGGUCCCAACAUUUUAGGAAUUAGGGGCCAAAAAGGGCCCAAAUAAGCAUUUUCUUGGUUUUCGCACUAUAACUUUAGUUUAAGUGAAUAGAAAUCUAUGAAAUUUUGACACAAGAUUUAUGACCACAAAAGGACAGAUGGGAUUGAUUUUGGGAGGUUUGGUUCCAACAGUUUAGGAAUUAAGGGCCAAAAAAGGGCCCAAAUAAGCAUUAUUCUUGGUUUUCGCACAAUAACUUUAGUAUAAGUAAAUAGAAA